CACACACACACACUCUUCAGAAAAUCUCGCACAAGCCUUUUCUGUGUGAUUCCAUGUGUUUGUUUGUUUGUGCUACUGUUAAAGUUUUGGGUUUUUUUUUUUCUUUUCUUCUUGAGUUUAUUUAAGUCUGUUUGGAGAUUACCUGGCCUGGUUUCAACCGCCAUUUUGGAUUUAUCUGAUUGACUACCUCCUGGCUUUUAAAACCCACCCUGCUCCUUCUUCCCUCCAGCUCCCUGCUUGAUACCUGACAGUUUGUUUGCUGGACUUGGCGUCAUUGUGCCGUCAUUUUCUGAGGGAAAACCCUGGGAAUACGAUCGCUACGCUGGACUACGUUCCCCACAAGUCAACAUGACCGUGUUUUCCUCGAAGGUGAAAAAGCGACCAUAGUGGGACUGGAGUUUUUCAACUCGGAGGCGAAAAUCUUUUUCGAGGAAAACCCCGUCUCGUGAUUUAUUUUUUAUUUAUUUAUUUUUUGAAAUUUUGUUUUAUUUAUUAAAUUUUUUAUCUCGCAAAUCUGUGCCGUCAUUUGUGACGAAUAAAACUGUCUUCUGACAGAUCAGACUGUUCAACAAAACCGGCCUUAUGACUGUUACUUAAGACUGUUAAGACUCCCUUUCUACUGUCCUCCGUUCACUUUUUAAGGAUUUUACCGUCGGUAACCUUUGAGGUCAACGUCCCGUCUAUAAAAAAAAAAAAAAUUUUUUUUUAAAUAAUAAUAAUAAAUGAAAGAUCUUUUACGCUAACCGUGGGAUGUACUUCGGAUAUACAGACCUUUUGAACCAAAGCUAUUUUUUUCCAAUGCUUUUCUAUUGCACAGGAUUAUAAACCCCCCCCCUCACC